AUGGCCAUCCCCGUCGAGGAGGCCAUCGCCGCCCUCUCCACCUUCUCCCUCGAGGACGAGCAGCCAGAUGUGCAGGGAUUAGCCGUGCUCCUGUCAAGUGAAAGAUACGCAACUAGUAGUCCUAUCGAGUACAGCGAUGUUGCUGCUUAUCGUCUAUCAUUAGGGGAAGAUACAAAAGCAAUCAACCAGCUGAAUACUCUGAUUCAAGAGGGAAAGGAAAUGGCUUCUUUGCUGUACACAUACCGUAGCUGUGUUAAGGCGCUACCUCAGCUGCCAGAUUCAAUGAAGCAUAGCCAGGCAGAUUUGUACCUAGAAACAUAUCAAGUUCUUGACUUGGAAAUGAGUCGUUUACGUGAAAUUCAGAGGUGGCAAGCAUCUGCUGCUUCAAAGCUGGCAGCUGAUAUGCAGAGGUUUUCUAGGCCCGAGAGACUGGUUAAUGGACCCACAGUCACUCAUUUUUGGUCUAUGCUGAAAUUGCUUGAUGUCCUACUACAGCUUGAUCAUCUUAAGAAUGCAAAAGCAAGUAUACCUAAUGAUUUUUCAUGGUACAAGAGAACAUUUACUCAAGUAAGCACCCAGUGGCAGGACACCGACACUAUGAGAGAAGAGCUGGAUGAUCUUCAGAUUUUUCUGAGCACCAGAUGGGCCAUCUUGUUAAAUUUGCAUGCUGAGAUGUUUCGGACAAAUACUGUUGAGGACAUUCUACAGGUCCUUAUAGUAUUCUGCGUGGAGUCAUUGGAAUUAGACUUUGCUCUUCUUUUCCCUGAGCGUCACACCCUACUUCGUGUUCUCCCAGUUUUGGUUGUUCUAGCAACCUCAUCGGAGAAAGAGAGCGAGUCACUCUAUAAGAGAGUCAAGAUAAACCGUCUUCUCAAUAUUUUUAAGAAUGAUCCAGUUAUUCCGGCAUUUCCAGAUCUGCAUUUAUCCCCUGCUGCAAUGUUGAAGGAAUUGUCAUCAUAUUUUCAAAAUUUCUCCAGUCAAAUUCGUCUUCUUACUCUUCCAGCUCCCCAUGAAAUUCCUCCUCGUGAGCUACAAGAUUAUCAGAGACAUUACCUGAUUCUGAACCACAUGGGAACUAUAAGAGCUGAGCAUGAUGAUUUCUCUAUACGUUUUGCCUCUGCAAUGAACCAGAUGAUAACAUUGAAGUCAUCAGAUGGUGCAGAUAAUGAUUGGUCUAGGGAUAUUAAGGGGAACAUGUAUGAUACUGUUGUGGAAGGCUUCCAGCUUCUUAGUCGAUGGACUGGCAGGAUCUGGGAACAGUGUGCUUGGAAAUUUUCACGCCCUUGCAAAGAGCCACCUAUUUCAGAUUCUCAACAAGAUUCAGCGACAUUUUUUGACUACGAAAAGGUAGUACGUUGGAACUAUACUGCAGAAGAAAGAAGGGCCCUGCUUGAAUUAAUCGGUUAUAUAAAGAGUAUUGGAUUGAUGAUGCAACAUUGUGACACCUUGGUGUCUGAAGCUUUGUGGGAAACAAUACAUAUGGAGGUCCAGGAUUUUGUACAGGAUAAACUAGAUACAAUGCUUCGCACAACAUUUCGGAAGAAGAAGGACCUUUCUCGGAUUCUCUCUGAUAUGCGAACCCUCUCCGCAGAUUGGAUGGCCAACACCAGCAAGGCAGAUCCAGAGCAGCAUUCGCUACACCAAGAAACUGAGGAAAUGAGGCAAAGCACAUUUUACCCGAGACCAGUUGCACCAACAGCUGCACAGAUCCAUUGUUUGCAAUUUCUCAUCUGUGAGCUUGUAUCUGGUGGUAAUCUGAGAAAACCUGGAGGGCUAUUUGGGAAUAGUAGCUCUGGAAUACCUGUGGAAGAUCUUAAACAGCUAGAGACGUUUUUCUACAAGCUCAGUUUUUUCUUGCAUAUUUUGGACUUUACAGCAACGAUUGGUACACUAACUGAUCUUGGAUUUCUUUGGUUUCGAGAGUUCUACCUGGAAUCUUCCCGUGUUAUCCAGUUUCCAAUCGAAUGUUCCCUCCCUUGGAUGCUGGUGGAUCAUGUCAUUGAAUCUCAAGAUGCUGGCCUUCUUGAAAGCAUUUUGAUACCACUUGACCUCUACAAUGACUCUGCUCAACAUGCACUAACUUAUCUCAAACAGAGAUUUCUCUAUGACGAAAUUGAAGCUGAGGUCGAUCUUUCCUUUGAUCUUCUUGUCCAGAAGCUUAAUGAGGUCAUCUUUACAUAUUAUAAGAGUUGUGCAGCAAGUACUCUUCUUGAUAGUUCAUUUACCUAUGCAUGUGAUGAUGGUGAGAAGUACUUUGUCAAACCCUUGAGAUUUGAUGCAAUUUUCAAGCUAAGAAGAGUCAUGAUCUUAGGGAGGACAAUUGACUUAAGAAGUCUAAUUACUCAGAGAAUGAACAAACUGUUCCGAGAAAAUAUCGAUUUCCUACUGGAGCGCUUCGAAUAUGGAGAUCUAUGCGGUGUUGUAGAACUACAACAACUACUGGAUAUUUUGGAGCUUACACAUCAGUCAAUAUCAAGAUUUCUUGAACUGGAUUCUUACUCUCUUAUGAUUAGUGAAAUGCAAGAGAACCUUUCACUGGUUUCUUAUUCGAGUCGCAUCUCUUCUCAGAUAUGGAAUGAGAUGCAAACAGAUUUCUUGCCCAAUUUCAUCCUGUGUAAUACUACACAACGGUUUGUGAGGUCAUUAAAAGGAGCUCAUCACUCUUCUCAGAGAUCAGAUGCUUCUACUGGGAAACCUUACUUCUACUGUGGAUCGCAUGAUUUGACAAUGGCAUACCAGGGUCUUGCUGGUCUGUACCGUGACUUCUUUGGGAUCCCUCACAUGUUUGCAGUUGUUAGACUUCUUGGUUCCAGAUCAUUACCUGGUAUUAUCCGUGCUUUACUGGAUCAUAUAUCAAGUAAGAUAACAGCUAUGGUGCCAAAAGUAACAGGAUUGCAAGAAGCACUGCCAAAGUCUAUUGGACUUCUUUCGUUUGAUGGUGGUAUAGCAGGCUGCCAGAAGAUAAUUCAUGAAAUAUUGACAUGGGAAGCGAAAUCAGAUGUGAAAGUUGAAGUUCUUCAUGAUCUUAAGGAAAUUGGAAGUGCUUUGUAUUGGAUGAGCCUUCUGGACAUUGUUUUGAGACAAAUCGACACUACACAGUUCAUGCAAUCAGCUCCAUGGUUGGGAUUGGUACCAGGAAAUGACGGGCAAGUGAAGCAUGCCUACUCUGAUAAUACUCCAUUUACCACACUGCUCAGUGCUGCCACCAGUGCAGUUGCAUCGAGUCCUGCAUGCGCAAAUCCAUCUUCAUAUCUUGUCAUGUCAAAGCAGGCUGAAGCUGCUAGCCUAUUGUACAAGUCAAAUCUCAACUCAGGGAGCGUGCUGGAGUAUGCUCUUGCUUUCACAAGUGCUGCCCUGGAUAGACAUUACAGCAAAUGGAGUGCAACUCCAAAGACAGGUUUCAUUGACAUAACCACAUCGAAGGACUUCUAUCGUGUUUUUAGUGGUCUUCAGUAUAGCUACUUGGAAGAUAGCAUGACCAAUCCUUCAAAGAAACGAGAAAUGUUGGGCGACUCUGUAGCAUGGGCUGGCUGUACAAUCAUGUACUUGCUGGGGCAGCAGCUACAUUUCGAGCUAUUCGAUUUCUCCUACCAAUUUCUCAAUGUGGCAGAAAUAGAAACCGCGACAGUUUCACUUUAUCAACCCGCGGAUAGGAGCAAAAGCCCAAAUAUCUUCCAGGGCUACGAGGUCAUCCUUGAAGCGAUGAGGAAGGCUAGGAGGCUGAACAACCACGUGUUCUCCAUGUUGAGAGCGCGGUGCCCCCUCGAGGACAAGGUUGCGUGUGCCAUCAAGCCGAGUGGGGCGCCCCUUCACCGUAUGAAGUUUAGCAACACAGUUUCUGCAUUCGAGACAUUGCCACAGAGAGCGAACUCGUAG
rnacentral:rRNA from 1 species